AACGAACGCUGGCGGCAGGCUUAACACAUGCAAGUCGAACGGAUCCUUCGGGAUUAGUGGCAGACGGGUGAGUAACGCGUGGGAACGUACCCUUUGCUACGGAAUAACUCAGGGAAACUUGAGCUAAUACCGUAUGUGCCCUACGGGGGAAAGAUUUAUCGGCAAAGGAUCGGCCCGCGUUGGAUUAGCUAGUUGGUGGGGUAAUGGCCUACCAAGGCGACGAUCCAUAGCUGGUCUGAGAGGAUGAUCAGCCACACUGGGACUGAGACACGGCCCAGACUCCUACGGGAGGCAGCAGUGGGGAAUAUUGGACAAUGGGCGCAAGCCUGAUCCAGCCAUGCCGCGUGAGUGAUGAAGGUCUUAGGAUUGUAAAGCUCUUUCACCGGUGAAGAUGAUGACGGUAGCCGGAGAAGAAGCCCCGGCUAACUUCGUG
rnacentral:rRNA from 1 species